rnacentral:tRNA from 1 species
GCUAUUUUGGUGGAAUUGGUAGACACGAUACUCUUAAGAUGUAUUGUCGAAAGACAUGAAGGUUCAAAUCCUUUAAGUAGCA